CUGGCUGACGCCGUUCUUGAUCCCGUUGAUGCUCGCUCUGCCGUUCCCGAUUCGCUUGAUCCCGUUCUCGAUCCGGUUGACCCCGUUCUCGAUCCCGCCGUGCCGCCGCGGGUUUCGCCGCCUCCUCGGCCUCGUCGGGCUCCAAACCCAGAACCAACCACGAGUGGAUGAGGGACGGGACGUAUCCUUGCACCAGCGGCUCCAACAACGCCGGCUGCCCCAUUAAGCGCUGCAGCAAACGAAGGGCGCGGGGGGCGGGGUCCGGGACCCCCGUCAGAUAGCGGAGGAAGCCCGUCACCACGGGGGGGGAAGCGAAAGCGGCCAAAGCCAAGAGAACCCGGGGUCUCCAACCCCGCGCUUUGGGGUCCCCCAGCAGGGACACCAAAGUCCCCAACCCCCCCGCCGCCCUCACCUUGGCCCGGUUGACAGCUUCGCGGCACAGCAGGCACAGCGCCCGCAGCGCCGGGCCGCCGCCGUGGCACGCGGCGCCGGUGAGGGGCAACCUCUUGCCCACCCCCCCCGGGGAGACGCCGUCCCUCCCGUCGGGCGUCACCAUCCGCGUCACCUCGCGGGUGACGGCCUCGACCGCCCCGACCGAACCCAGGGCCGGGCGCAGAGCAGCCCGGUGACACAGGUUGGCGAUGGCGGCCAAGGCCGGGCGGCGACGGUCGCGUUGGGGGCCGGCGGCCAGCUGGGCCAAGGGACGGAGAGCCGGGAGAGCGUCGUCCAAGGAGGAGGUGGGGGGUUCCGUCAGGUGGCGGAGGGCGCGGGUGACGGACGGGCAGGCCGGGUGGCUCGGGGCCAUGGCGGCCAAGCGGGAGGCCAAGGCGCGGAGGGCACCGGCGCGGCACAGGGAGACGCGGCAGCGGGGGGAAGCGGCGAGGAUGCGGAGGGCGCGGGACGCGCUGUGAAGGCACUCCGGGCUGGAGCAGGUGGAGGUCAGGGACACCAGGAGGGGACCGGCGCCUGCGGGGACAAGAAAGGGGGAGGGGAUGCUGAUCUAGAACCAGCUGUGGGUGGAGAACCCAUCGGGGACAUCGGUUGGGGACAAUAGAGGGGGAUGCGGGAGGAUGUAGAAGCUGCCGAGGGGGGAGAGCCCGUUGGGGACAUCACCUGGGGACAAUACAGAGUGAUGUGGGGGGAUCUAGAACCUGUCGGGGGGGAGAACUCAUUGGGGACAUCACUUGGGGACAAUAGCAAGGGAUAUGAGGGGAUCUAGAACCCAUUUGGGGGGGAAAACCCAUUGCUGAGAUCACUGAAAGACAACACAGCAGAAUGCGGGGGGAUCUAGAACCCGUUGGGGGUGGAGAACCCAUUGGGGACAUCGGUUGGGGACAAUAGAGGGGGAUGCAGGAGAAUGUAGAAGCCGUCGAGGGGGGAGAGCCCGUUGGGGACAUCACCUGGGGACAAUAUAGAGUGAUGUGGGGGGAUCUAGAACCCGUUGGAGGGGAGAACUCAUUGGGGACAUCACUUGGGGACAAUAACAAGGGAUAUGAGGGGAUCUAGAACCCAUUUGAGGGGGAAAACCCAUUGCU
rnacentral:lncRNA from 1 species